UUCUUCCUAAGAACACAGCAACGCGAACCCCAAUCCCCAACGCGUAGCCGCCAGCUCCAGCUUGGCGACGGUGGCAGCGGGCCAGAUCCGGUGUCUAGCUGGGCGAUUGCGCCCGGUGGAGGUCCAGAUCCAUCCACGACCGUCUUGUUGCCGGCGUUCUGGCUGCCCCGGCGGACCUCCUCUGUCCGAAGCUGAGACCUUGUGCGGGCAAGUUCUCCAAGGUCCUCUGCUGCGACCUCCAUAGAAAACUCUCAUUCCAUUCUUUCUCCUACCCCAAUGAGCCCAUUCUCCACACGUCGCCUGCACCCCCGCAUCUAACUCCACCAUCUGGGAACGUCGUAGAAGAAAUCUCCAGUCUUCAUGUAUGCUUGUCUGAAAGAAGUCAGAUAUUUGGAUUUGGAGUGAAAUGCAAUUUCUGCUCUGCAUAUGAUGGAUAGAUCAAAGCUCGUCGACUAGUACUACGUUCGUCCUCCGCUGUUUUGUUGCUGCAUCUCGAACUGAAAAUGGAAGGAAGUGGAGGGACGUCGCCUUUAGGAGAGCCCACCGUUCCAGUAAUCCCAAACUAUGUACCAACACUGUCAGUUGUGGAAUCGGCCAAUAGUGUCCAAAAUCAAGAUUUCAGUGAUGCUACCUCACAAUGUUUUCGAGUCGACGAGUCGACGGGUCGCUCGGGGGGAGCGACUCUAGACUAGUCGUGACUAGUCUAGACUCACGGUCGACGAGUCGACAUGGCGACGAGUCGAUAUGAGUUAAGCAGUAGGUACUAGGUAGUAGGGCAUUAGGUACAUUAAGUAAAUGCAACCAGAUUCAAAUGCAAGGAAAUAAGUUCAACACUUCAAGUCUUCAACACCAAAACAUGAAUGGCAGAUUAAAAUGCAAGGAAAUAAGUUCAACACUUCAAAUCUUCAAGCAAUCAAGCCUCAAGCUCCAUGUCUUGAAGCUGAAAAUCAGUGUCUUCAUCAUCUGGUGAUUCAGCAUCGUCUUCAUCACUGCUCUCCAUGUCUUUGUCAUAUUCUGCCGCUUCUAAUUCAGCCCUCAACUCUUCAUCAUGCACAACCAGCCUUGUUCUUGCGUUGUUCCGAGUGUAGGUGAUAUAAGGGCCUAUGGGUCGUGCAAUAGGCUCGCUAGGAUCACCACGAGCUCUCCUAGGAUAGUUGCGGCCUGCUAGAGAAGUUGAUGCACCCAUGGCUUCAUCAACCUGAGACCACAGUAGUGGUGUUUCACCGUCCAUGACUUGAGCUUGAUCUUCAUGUACCAUUUCAGUAUUGAUAUCAACCCAUUCAUUAUCCCAUUCAAAUUCUUCUAGGACAAGUGGACUAGAUUUCUUUGCUUUAGAGCCUUGCUCACGCAGAUUCUGAAACCUAGCUUCCAUUUUCCGGUUGUACGAGACAUAUGAUAGCUUGUUCAAUCUCUUGUACUCUAGACGGUUUCUCCCUUUGGUGUGGAUCUGCAAGCACACAAAUAUGUGAGAAGCUGCUGCAAUUAGCCUAUCAAACCAGCCAGAUGCUGCUGCUACUUACAUGAGCAAAUACACUCCAAUUGCGCUCGCAGCCAGAUGCUGAACAACAUAGACUAAUGAUUCGCUUUGCAAGAGUUUGGAGGUCAAAAGCAAGGCCACCAUAAGCAUUCCACCAAAGAACUACAAAACCAAGAAGUCCCACAUUAAAGAGAAGGCCACAAUAACCAGCAAUUAGUGGAGUAACUGAGCUGAACAAGAAGACACAAGCUGCCAUAAAAUUUAUACUUACGUGGUCCAGAGGUGUUUCUUCAUCCUAAUUAGUGCACAUACUCACAAUUGUAAACCCCCCAGCAAGGUGUUUCUUCAUCCUACAAGGUCCAGAGGUAAUUUGCUUGCCGCACAAAUUACAUUGCAGCAACAAUCUCUUGUUAAGAUCUGGCCAGAAUGCAUAUUUCCAUGCUGGAUCCUUGCUCUUUGUUGGCCUCCUCUUAGGAUCUUUGAAUGGGUCAUAGUGCUCAUCAGCUUCUUCUGCAGCUUGAGCUGAUCGAACAACUUGGGAUAUCUCUGGCUGGGAGGACAUGGUGCUUGCUGUGAAUCUAUGAUAGAAGGAAAGAUAACUCCACUUAGUUGUUUUUCUCACCAAAUCAAGCCCUAAGCUAACUAGCAGAAACAGUACUUACCGGGGGAGGAGUGGAGGAGCACAAGAGCAGCAGCAUUAACCAGGGGAGGAGCAGAGGAGCACAACAACAGCAGCAUCAACCAGGGGAGGAGUGGAGGAGCACAGCAGCAGCAACAACCAAAGGAGGAAGGGGAGGAGCACAUGGAAGGAGUGAAGGCAGCCGCCAGGGAAAGGGUUAGGUCAGGGUGAGGGGGGAUGGAUCGAUCUAUAUAUUUCUAGUGCUGGGAUGGGCUGAUGGGCCAAAAAACUGUUGGGGGCCCAAAAUAACUGAGUCGUUCGACUCACUUAUGGCGACUAGUCGUGACUAGUCGAGACUAGUCGCUCGAGUCACUCGACUCAUGCGAGGAGUCGAGUCGCCAGCCCGAGGCGCUCCUGCUCUUGCGACUCGUCGACUAGUCGACGACUAGUCGCGACUAGUCGCUCGACUCGAAAACAGAGCUACCUCAUUUGCAGAAAUAAAUUCCCCAAUGCUUCUCAUUCAUGAUGCGAGUACACCAAAAAGGAAACAAGCCUUCUCUCAAGAGGUCUGACUUCUCCCAGCACAAGAAGAUCGAUAAGCAAGAGGCACUAGUACUGGAGGCAAAAGGCUGUAGCUUUUCUGUUGUGUACCAAACAGAGCAAACUUGAUGCAAAUUCUGAUGGCAAGCUUGUUCAGCAGACAGCGGUGCUUACUUUAGUCCUGCAUACUCUGUGUUGUCUGUGAUGUACCAAAAAUGGUCCUCUCAUGUUAUGUAACACUUUAUAUGUAUGUGUGUCGUCUCUGUUAUGUUCUGUUCUGUCUGGGAUAGUGCAAUUUAAAAUGUAUGCGUAGUUAUGGUUUAAAGUGGAUGGAUUAAUUUUCUCAUGUCUCAAAAAUUUGUGAUGUUCUCAUACAUUUUA